rnacentral:rRNA from 2 species
AUAUCAAUAAGCGGAGGAAAAGAAACCAACAGGGAUUGCCCCAGUAACGGCGAGUGAAGCGGCAGCAGCCCAGAUUUGAAAUCCGGUCCCCCCUCUCCGGGGAGCCCGAGUUGUAAUCUGCAGAGGAGAUGCUCUUUUGGCGCGGCGCCUUCCGAGUUCCCUGGAACGGGACGCCACAGAGGGUGAGAGCCCCGUCCGGUCGGACGCCACAGCCUCGGUAAAGCUCCUUCGGCGAGUCGAGUAGUUUGGGAAUGCUGCUCAAAGCGGGAGGUAUAUGUCUUCUAAGGCUAAAUACCGGCCAGAGACCGAUAGCGCACAAGUAGAGUGAUCGAAAGAUGAAAAGCACUUUGAAAAGAGAGUUAAACAGUACGUGAAAUUGUUGAAAGGGAAGCGCUCGUGGCCAGACCCGGGCCCGGCGGAUCAUCCGGCGCUCGUCGCCGGUGCGCUCUGCCGCGGCCCAGGCCAGCAUCGGCCCGCGGCGGGGGAUAAAGGCGGCGGGAAUGUGGCUCCCCUCCGGGGGGGAGUGUUAUAGCCCGCCGUGCAAUACCCCGCGGGCGGGCCGAGGUACGCGCACCCGCAAGGAUGCUGGCGUAAUGGCCACCAGCGACCCGUCUUGAAACACGGACCAAGGAGUCGUCCUCGUAUGCGAGUGUUCGGGCGCCAAACCCCUACGCGUAAUGAAAGUGAACGCUGGUGAGAACCCCUCGCGGGGCGCAUCACCGACCGAUCCUGAUGUCCUCGGAUGGAUUUGAGUAGGAGCAUACGGGGCCGGACCCGAAAGAAGGUGAACUAUGCCUGUGUAGGGUGAAGCCAGAGGAAACUCUGGUGGAGGCUCGCAGCGGUUCUGACGUGCAAAUCGAUCGUCAAACAUGGGCAUGGGGGCGAAAGACUAAUCGAACCUUCUA